rnacentral:rRNA from 1 species
AAGUCAUGCAAGUCUAUGUAGAAAUACAUGGCAUAAGGCUCAGUAACACGUCAACAAUCUAACCUAUAGUGGAGAAUAACCUCGGGAAACUGAGGAUAAUACUCCAUAGGAGAAGAAAACUCGGAGAAGCUCUUCUCUUAAAGCUUCGGCGCUGUAGGAUGAGUUGGCGGCAGAUUAGGCAGUUGGUGGUGUAACGGACCACCAAACCUGAGAUCUGUAAGGGGAAUGAGAGUUUGAGCCCUGAGAAGGACACUGAGAAAAGGGUCCUAGCCCUACGGGGUGCAGCAGACGCGAAACCUCCACAAUGCACGAAAGUGUGAUGGGGGAAUCCCACGUGCUUGUCUUAUGGCAAGCUUUUGUUGAGUAUAGAUAGCUCAGAGAAUAGGGGGUGGGCAAGACCGGUGCCAGCCGCCGCGGUAAUCCCGGCGCCCCAAGUGGUGACCACGUUUAUUGGGCCUAUAGCAUCCGUAGCCGGUUAGGUAAGUCUUUGGUGAAAUCUAGCAGCUUAACUGUUAGGCGUGCCGAAGAUACUGCUUAGCUUGAGACAGGGAGGAGUUAGGAGUAUGCCUUGGGGAGCGGUAAAAUGUCAUAAUCCAAGGUGGACUAUCGGUGGCGAAGGCGCCUAACUAGAACUGGUCUGACGGUGAGGGAUGAAAGCUAGGGGAGCGAUUGGGAUUAGAUACCCCAGUAGUCCUAGCUGUAAACGCUGCCUGCUUGAUGUUGCAUUUCUUUCGUGGAUGUGCAGUGUCGUAAUGAAGAUGUUUAGCAGGCCGCCUGGGGAGUACGGUCGCAAGGCUGAAACUUAAAGGAAUAGGCGGGGGAGCACACAAGGGGUGCAUGCUGCGGUUUAAUUGGAUUAUACGCCCGGAACCUCACUAGCGGCGACAGCAGAAUGAAGGUCUGUCUGAAUGGCACACUCGACACGCUGAGAGGUGGUGCAUGGCCGCCGUCAGCUCGUGCUGUGAAGUGUUCUGUUAAGUCAGAGAACGAGCGAGACCUGUGUCUUCAAUUGCUAGUUUGAUCUUCGGAUCGAGCGCACACUGAAGAGACUGCAUUCGUAAGAAUGAGGAAGGUGCAGGCAACGGUAGGUCUGUAUGCCCCAAAUCCGCUAGGCUACACGUGGCAUUCAAUGGUCAAGACAACGAGCUGCAACUCCGAAAGGAGAAGCGAAUCUCUUAAACUUGAUCGCGUACGAAUCGAGGGCUGCAACUCGCCCUCGUGAAGCUGAAAUCCCUAGUAAAUGCGUGUUAGCAUCGCGCGUUGAAUACACGUCCCUGCUCCUUGCACUCACUGCCUGUCAAACCAUCCGAGUUGGGUUUGGAUGAGGUCCCUGUUGAAGGGCUCGAAUCUAAGCUCGGCGAGGCGGGUUAAGUCAACACAAGGUA